rnacentral:rRNA from 1 species
UACGAAGGGGGCUAGCGUUGCUCGGAAUCACUGGGCGUAAAGCGCACGUAGGCGGACUCUUAAGUCAGGGGUGAAAUCCUGGAGCUCAACUCCAGAACUGCCUUUGAUACUGAGAGCCUUGAGUUCGGGAGAGGUGAGUGGAACUGCGAGUGUAGAGGUGAAAUUCGUAGAUAUUCGCAAGAACACCAGCGGCGAAGGCGGCUCACUGGCCCGAUACUGACGCUGAGGUGCGAAAGCGUGGGGAGCAAACAGG